rnacentral:rRNA from 1 species
UGGCGGCGUGCCUAACACAUGCAAGUCGAACGCGAAAGUCCUUCGGGAUGAGUAAAGUGGCGGACUGGUGAGUAACACGUGAGAAUCUGCCCUCUAGUGAAGGAUACCUCCGAGAAAUCGGAGUUAAUACUGCAUAAGUCCCUUCGGGGAGAAAAGUGGCUUAAUUGCUAUUGCUAGAGGAUGAGCUUGCGGUCUAUUAGUUAGUUGGUAGGGUAAAGGCCUACCAAGACUGUGAUGGAUAGUCGGCCUGAGAGGGUGUACGACCACAUUGGGACUGAGAUACGGCCCAGACUCCUACGGGAGGCAGCAGUGAGGAAUAUUGCACAAUGGACGAAAGUCUGAUGCAGCGACGCCGCGUGGAGGAUGAAGGUUUUCGGAUUGUAAACUCCUGUUAAGCGGGAAGAAAGACCCAUUUCUAAUAAAGAUGGGGGAUGACGGUACCGCUAAAGAAAGCACCGGCUAACUUCGUGCCAGCAGCCGCGGUAAUACGAGGGGUGCAAACGUUAUUCGGAUUGAUUGGGCGUAAAGGGUGCGUAGGUGGCGCAUUAAGUUCGUUGUUAAUUCUUUGGCCUAACCAAAGGUAUGCAGCGAAUACUGGUGUGCUAGAGGGCAGAAGAGAGAAGUGGAAUUCUCGGAGUAGCGGUAAAAUGCGUAGAUCUCGAGAGGAACACCGAUGGCGAAGGCAGCUUCUUGGUCUGCUUCUGACACUGAUGCACGAAAGCGUGGGUAGCAAACAGGAUUAGAUACCCUGGUAGUCCACGCUGUAAACGAUGAUCACUGGAUGUUGGGUUUGCUUAGCAAACUCAGUAUCGAAGCUAACGCGUUAAGUGAUCCGCCUGGGGACUACGGUCGCAAGACUAAAACUCAAAGGAAUUGACGGGGGUCCGCACAAGCGGUGGAACAUGUGGUUUAAUUCGAUAGUACGCGAGGAACCUUACCUGGGCUUGACAUGCACUGGACCGUCACAGAGAUGUGACUUUCUAGGUUUACCUAGACCUUUGCACAGGUGCUGCAUGGCUGUCGUCAGCUCGUGUCGUGAGAUGUUUGGUUAAGUCCUCUAACGAGCGCAACCCUUAUCGCUAGUUGCUACUUUUGAGCACUCUAGCGAGACUGCCCGGGAAACCGGGAGGAAGGCGGGGAUGACGUCAAGUCCUCAUGGCCCUUAUGUCCAGGGCUACACACGUGUUACAAUGGCUAGUACAAAGAGUUGCCAAGUCGUAAGACUGCGCGAAUCUCUAAAAGCUAGUCUAAGUUCGGAUUGAGGUCUGCAAUUCGACCUCAUGAAGUUGAAAUCGCUAGUAAUCGCAUAUCAGAACGAUGCGGUAAUACGUUCUCGGACCUUUACACACCGCCCGUCACACCACGAAAGCUGUUUGUACCCAA